CUUGGUCAUUUAGAGGAAGUAAAAGUUGUAACCAGGUUUCCGNAGGGGAACCNGCNGAAGGNUCANUAUCGAAUUCCGGNAAGGCNNUUGCUGGCNNAAAAGCNNGGGCACGUCCUACCCUUGCCCCUUUACACACCUGUGCACCUUUUGUAGGUCCUCGGAAAGAGGAUCUAUGUUUUACUAUCAUCACAUCCAAUGUAUGUCUAGAAUGUGAAUCAACUAUCGAUCUUCACGGGUCGAUAAAUGAUAAAUAAAUAUACAACUUUCAGCAACGGAUCUCUUGGCUCUCGCAUCGAUGAAGAACGCAGCGAAUUGCGAUAAGUAAUGUGAAUUGCAGAUUUUCAGUGAAUCAUCGAAUCUUUGAACGCACCUUGCGCUCCUUGGUAUUCCGAGGAGCAUGCCUGUUUGAGUGUCAUUGAAUUCUCAACCAUGUCUUGAUUGACUUGGAUUGGAGUUGGGGGUUGCUGGCGGCGAAAGCUGUCAGCUCUUCUGAAAUGCAUUAGUGAUGGACUAGCAAGUCUUUGACGUGCACGGCCUCUGACGUGAUAAUGAUCGUCAUGGCUGGAGCGUCUCCUGGUAGUCUAUUUGCUUCCAAAAACCCAGAUGAAUGAUGCCUUAGCUACUAGUCUAUAUAAUGGAUGAACACGAAAGGCUUCGUUUUUCCGAACUCUGACCUCAAAUCAGGAGACACCCUU
rnacentral:rRNA from 1 species